rnacentral:rRNA from 1 species
ACGUCAAGUCCUCAUGGCCCUUACGGGCUGGGCUACACACGUGCUACAAUGGCGGUGACAGAGGGCAGCGAAGGGGCGACCUGGAGCUAAUCCUCAAAAGCCGUCUCAGUUCGGAUUGCACUCUGCAACUCGAGUGCAUGAAGGUGGAAUCGCUAGUAAUCGCGGAUCAGCAUGCUGCGGUGAAUACGUUCCCGGGCCUU